CUGUCUCUCUUCUUGGAUUUUAAAAGAAAGCAAGCAAAACAGCCAGGAGUUUUCCCCGGGAGUGAGAAAAACAGCCUGGCCAGCCUGCCCUCUCCUGGGGGUUACAGGAUUGCUGACAGCUCGGGUCCACGUGAUGGUCUAGAAAAGAGGCUCAAGCUGAGGAAAAUCCAAGAAAUCUUCUUAGGAGUCUUCCUUUCUAAAUGUAAAUGACUGAGUCAGUGCUUUGCUAAGGAGGGAAGGAAGUCACAAUCCGGCCGAGUGACUCAUUCAGUGCUGUUAGCUCCGGGAGUUGGAUAAAAAGUUUUAGCCAAAGCAGCAACAAAUCUACUUUAAAUACUAGCACAGUAAGGAAAUUCCUCUCUUUCAGGCCGAAUGCCACCCGCACAAAAGAACUCCUGUUGACAUCUCAUUUACAAUCUCCCCCAGGACACAGACAAGACCAUUUCAAUAAACCCGGCUCAGAGACACCUAUUGUUCGGAAUCUUCAACUAGCAACAGGCUUCCACCACAACCUAUUGUUUUGUAAAAUAAAGGAUUUUGAAGGAGAAGGAUUGAGACUGUGGACGCCAUGAAAAGAGGAAGGAAAAAAGUCCCUUUGACCUGAUGCUGUCACAGAGCGUGCAAGAAGAAUGAAGUUAAUGGAUUUCCAUUUUUAUAAGAAGUGCAUAAGAAACGCCUGUUAAGUUUCUGAACUGGUGAUGGAGAAUUCCAAAUUUGCUGCCAGCUUGGUGCAUCGAGAAGCAAACUCCUGCCCACGGGUUUGCUAAAUGCAAAGCCCCGGGCUAUACUUACCCUAUUCUCAGCCUUACCAAAGUCCUGAUAGCCCCAAUAGCAGAGCACCAGAAAAUUUGUCAGAAAAUUGUGAUAAGAAGAAAUUGACUUCAAAGUGCAUUCUAACAAAGAAAAAAAAGUCACUACUGUAAUUCUGUAUAAAAGGACCUCAAUGCUGUUGACUUUUCCCAGCAGCCAUGACUUUGGGGGAUGGCCAGCCCCUUCCUAGAUUUGGAGGCUGAGUCUUGUUUGAUGGGAAGAUUGAUGGGAAUGCUUCUGGGAAGGAUCACCCCCAUAUCCCUUUUCUUCCUCUGGAUACUGUCAUCACCAAGAGAUACCCUGAACUGUGGCUGCCAUCUGGGGACCGCAAAGAGCAUCUGCCUGAGAAGACAACCCACAGUGAAGAUGACAGGUGGAAACAUGGCAGGAAGCUGGUUUGGAUAUCUUCAGUGGCCACCUUACCUCUAGAUUUGCUGUUACUGAGAAAAUGAAUGCCUUUCCCAUCUAAGUCACUUUGAUUUUAUUUCUAAAAUUUUAUUUGCUUAUUUAUUGAUUUGGCUUAGAGUUAUGCAAAUGGAUUUAUAUAUGCUAA